GAGUUUGAUCGUGGCUCAGAUUGAACGCUGGCGGCAUGCCUUACACAUGCAAGUCGAACGGCAGCAUGAUCUAGCUUGCUAGAUUGAUGGCGAGUGGCGAACGGGUGAGUAAUACAUCGGAACGUGCCCUGUAGUGGGGAUAACUAGUCGAAAGAUUAGCUAAUACCGCAUACGACCUGAGGGUGAAAGUGGGGGACCGCAAGGCCUCAUGCUAUAGGAGCGGCCGAUGUCUGAUUAGCUAGUUGGUGGGG
rnacentral:rRNA from 1 species